rnacentral:lncRNA from 1 species
AAAUCUUUAUUUUGUUAAAGUGGAUAUUUUUGAGUGUUUGAAAAAUAUUUUGUACCAAUACCUCUAUUUAGUAAUAACCUCUCAAUUAGAAUACAAAUAGUUUGGUCCCAAGUCUAUAACUAAACAGAGGUUUUACUGUAUGAUGUUUAAAUCAACAAUCUUCAAAUUAGGAUUUCAAUAAAAUCACGAACUUUGACUUUGACCUCUACGCAAACACCUUGAUCAGUUCGCUGAGUGCAAGAGGUCCACCGAAGUUGGGGGCUCCGGGAGGAUUCUUCGAUUCUUAAGUCGAGAACGCUGAUAUAAAGAGAGAAUUAUUAUGGGGGUCAAAAUUGUGUACCUUGAUUAUGCUGGAG